rnacentral:rRNA from 1 species
CCAGACUCCUACGGGAGGCAGCAGUGGGGAAUAUUGGGCAAUGGGCGCAAGCCUGACCCAGCAACGCCGCGUGAAGGAAGAAGGCUUUCGGGUUGUAAACUUCUUUUAAGAGGGAAGAGCAGAAGACGGUACCUCUUGAAUAAGCCACGGCUAACUACGUGCCAGCAGCCGCGGUAAUACGUAGGUGGCAAGCGUUGUCCGGAGUUACUGGGUGUAAAGGGCGUGCAGCCGGGCUGACAAGUCAGAUGUGAAAACCCGCGGCUCAACCGCGGAACUGCAUUUGAAACUGGUAGUCUUGAGUACCGGAGAGGUCAUCGGAAUUCCUUGUGUAGCGGGGAAAUGCGUAGAUAUAAGGAAGAACACCAGUGGCGAAGGCGGAUGACUGGGCGGCAACUGGCGGUGAGGCGCGAAAGCGUGGGGAGCAAACAGGAUUA